rnacentral:rRNA from 1 species
UUGGAGGGCAAGUCUGGUGCCAGCAGCCGCGGUAAUUCCAGCUCCAAUAGCGUAUAUUAAAGUUGUUGCAGUUAAAAAGCUCGUAGUUGAAUUUCGGGGUCAGUAGGUUGGUCAUGCCACUGGUAUGUACUGGUCUCACUGAUUCCUCCUUCCUGAUGAGCUGUAAUGCCAUUAAUUUGGUGUUGCGGGGAAUCUGGACUGUUACUUUGAAAAAUUAGAGUGUUUAAAGCAAGCUAACGCUUGAAUACAUUAGCAUGGAAUAAUGAAAUAGGACGUUCGAUCCUAUUUUGUGGUUUCUAGGAUUGACGUAAUGAUUAAUAGGGAUAGUUGGGGGCAUUAGUAUUCAAUUGUCAGAGGUGAAAUUCUUGGAUUUAUUGAAGACUAACUACUGCGAAAGCAUUUGCCAAGGAUGUUUUCAUUAAUCAAGAACGAAAGUUAGGGGAUCGAAGACGAUCAGAUACCGUCGUAGUCUUAACCAUAAACUAUGCCGACUAGGGAUCGGAUGAUGUAAUUUUUAAUG